UGUUAUAUAGUAUAUAUUAUUCUUCCUCAUGAUUUUUUUGUUAUAUUGUCUCUUUCCACUCAUAUGAGAUAUUUACAGCAGUUAAGUUCAUAGAAACACGAAGUAGAAGAGUAGUUUCCAGGGACUACACAAAGGGCAAUGGAAGGAGAGUGUUGUUUACUGGGUACAGAGUUUCACUUUUAAAAGAUUGAAAAACAGUUCCUUAUGAACUUGGACAAUGGUUGCAAAACAAUGUGAAUGUAUUUAAUUUCUUUAAACUGCACACAAAAAAAAAAUAAAAUGGUUAAUUUCAUGUAUUUUUAUAUUUUACUAAAAGGUAAAAACUACUUUCUAAAAUGAACAGACUAUAGCUAUUUGCAACUGGUGGGUGAAUAUCACAAAUGUAAUGUUGCAUAAAAGAAAGCAGACAUGCCAGUUUGGGCAACAUGGUGAAACCCUGUCUCUACCAAAAAUACAAAACAAUUAGCCGGGCAUGGUGGUGCAAGGCUGCGGUCCCAGUGACUCAAAAGGCUGAAGUGGAAGGAUAUCUUAAGCCUGGUAGGCAGAGGUUGCAGUGAGAUCAUGCCACUGCACACCAACCUGGGGAAAAGAAAGAAAGAAAAAAGAAGAGAGAAAGAAAGAAGGAAAGAAAGAGAGAAAGAAAGAAGACAGAAAAGGAAAGAAAGAAAGAAAACAGAAAAGGAAAUAAAGAAAACAGAUGUACAAGUAUACAUACUAUAUAAUUUUGUUUAUAUAAAAUGCUACAAUCAAAUAAAACUGAGGUUCUGACUUCCACUAAGUGUGGACUAGCUUGUUGAACUCUCACAAAUAACAAUGAUGAAACUUGAAUAAAAUAUAUUAUUAUAGAAAAACGCCUAUGCAUAAUACAUAUAUGAUAUGUGUGUUUAACAACUGAAUGAAGAUUUCAGCUAUACCCACUGUAGCAGACACAAGCAUUGGUUUGACACUAGCCCAAUGAACCCUGUUUAUAAAACAAAAGUCUUCAAGGUAAAACAACAAAAUCCAGAGUUUCUAUUCUAUAAUUAUCAUUUAUAGUUUCUAGUGCACAAUUUUAAAAUUCAUAAGACUUGUAAAGAAACGUGAAAAUGUCAUCCAUACACAAUAUCAAAAGCAGGCAGUAGAAGCUAUCCCAGGAUGUUGCAAUCAGCAGACAAGAAUUUGAAGGCAGUUUUUAUGAAUAUGUUCAUGGGGAAAAAAGAAAAUAUUCUAUUCAUAAACAAACAGAUGUGGAACUUCAGCAGAGAAAUGAACAUAUAUAUAAAAAAAUUAUAGAUAAGGAAAUGAAAAAAAUCUUUUGCGUUUAGCCAUAGAUUUAAAACAGAAGACACAGCAAUAGAAAUUAUCCAGUCUGGGAAAAAAAAAGUACAAAAAGUUUAAAGGAAAUGAACAGAGCUCUCGAGACCUGUGGAAUGACUGAGUCUAAGGAGAAGGGAGAGACAAAAAAAAUUAAAUAGGGAACAAAAGUAAAUCAACAACUAAUAGCGGAAUACUUCCAAAAACUGUCCAAAUACCUAAAUAUUUAUAUCCAAAAGGUCAAUAAAUACAAAACAAAAUACAAAUAAAACCACAGCAAGGCCAUAUCGUGGUUUAUGAAACAGGCAAGGCAGGGCUUUUGCUUGACUUGCUAUGAUAUCUAAUUGCUACUAUUUAUGGAUAUAUGGAAAUAAAUACUAAAUAGAAUGGGAGAUAGGUUAUUCUCAGAGUUUUUUUUUUUUUUUUUUUUUUGCAAAGAUGACUGUUAUUAAAGGUAGAUGACUUUCCAGCAUGUCGAAAGGGGCGUGGCAGGGGAGGGGCGAGGAGAAGGGUCGGGGCUGAGGGAGGGGCCCUGCAAAGGUCUGGGCGCGCCCAGCUCCCCGAGAGCAAGCGUUACGGCAACACUGGGCAGGCUGUUAGAGGCUCCCGGGCUCUGUCUUGUCAGAGAGAAAUCAAACUUCAGGCACAAAUAGUCGUACAACUGGCACGUGGGGAGACUGUGUCACAAUUACAAGUGAGACCACCUGCCCUGGCCACGCUGUCUCCUCGCACGCAGAAGUUUGGGAACAGAUAGGCUCCCCUCAGCAGGGCGGAAUUGCACUGGAAACAUGGAGGGGCGGAGGAGAAGAUGAAAUUAUCCCCGCAGUGUUGGAACUGUAGUCUCAGAGAAGAUGAAAUUUUCCCCGUAGUGUUGGAACUGUAGUCUCAGAUCCACUCCCAGCCUUUCUGUCGCGGCAGUCGGACUAUGAUCCCAGCAUGCGCUGGGCUUAGGGGAGGUUCCCAGCCCUGGAGGAAGGGUCAACAGGGUGGGUCCCUCGCAAGGCGUCCUGGGAGUCAUAGUCCUUAAACGGUUUCCAGCACGUUGAUCGCAAGGCUACCGAACUACAAUGCCAGCAUGCACCGGGAUUGGGGCGGUGUGUAACGCUGGAGGGAAGGAUAGAGAGGCGCGUCCCUGGCCAGGGAUGCUGGGAGUUAUGGUCUCUUAACGGUUUCCAGCGAUGGCCCCCGGCCUGCAGACUACAAUCCCAGCAGCCACCGGGCUUCGAGGCGGUGUGUAGCACUGAAGGGAAGGAUAGGGAGGUGCGUCCUUAGCCAGGCGUGCUGGGAGUUAUGGUCUCUUAACAGUUUCCAGUCAGUUGGUCCCAGGACUACCUGACUACAAUCCCAGCAUGCGUUGGGCUUGGGGGCGGUGCGCAGCCCUAGAGGAAGGAUCGGGACGGCGGGUACCUCGCAAGGCAUGCUGGGAGUCAUAGUCCUUUCAGUAUUUCCAGCCCAUUGGUCGCGAGGCUAACGGACUACAAUCUCAGCAUGCGCUGGGUUUGGGGGCGGUGUGUAGUAUGGAAGCGAAGGAUAGGGAGGCGCGUCCCUAGCUAGGAGUGCUGGGAGUUAUGGUGUCUUAACGGUUUCCAGCCCAUUGGUCGCCGACCUGCUAACUACAAAACCAGCAUGCGCUGUCUGUCCUCCCCCGUGGUGCGCAGCCCUGGAGGGAGGGACAGGGCGGUGUGGACUCGUCCUUUCCUAAGCGAUGCCACAUGCUGAUUCUGUGCCACCCCCUCGCCAAGGGAGUCCGCAGAAGGACUUGAGGGGCAGGUCUAGGCUGGGCGAUGAGGACGGUGUGACCCUGCGAAGUGCACCUCCCUUGCUCAAAUCGGAGGUGUCUGGUCCUCACUGCACAGCCCACUGCACAUCUCGGUGUCCUCUCACAUACACACCAGUGGGGGGUUUCCAGAGCAUCGCACCUCUUCCAGCCCAGGGAGCCGCCUGCUCUGCUAAACUCUAUGGGAACUGAGACAUCCACCUGCUGCGUGACCCACCCGUGCGCAACUUCAGAGCUUUCAGGGGGUGAUGCGGGCUGUGGCUCCUUCGUGAAAAUGUCACCGUCUGCAGCGCCUUUCUUGUGAUAUAGAACUUGACGGGUGAGAGCGGGUAUUUCUUGGGUUACUCAGGAUCUGCUAACAGCAGAGGAGAAAACCACAAUUCCCAGGCACAAGAAUCUACCUAAAGACGAUGGUUUAGAUAUUUUACAGUUGAAAUCACCAGCCUCAUCUCAACUGAGUCCUGACUGACGAGUGUCUCAAAAAAGCAGUUGGUGACCUCAUCCCUCAGGAACAGGUGGUGCUCCAGCUUUGUGGGGAUGACUUUCAAGGUGCAGAGCACUUGAGCCGCAUUUGAAGUCAUUCAUGUUUUACAUCUCUGCUUUGGAUGGAAAGUUGAUCCCCCACAGCCGUUGGGGAUGUACCUUAAUAUACUGGGGCUUAUCAGUUAAAUUUUUCUGUCUAGACAAUGAAAACCCAGAAGUUCCACUUGCAGGUAGCCUCUUAAUAAUCGACGUUCCUAAGUUCCUUAUGUCCUCAGGAUAGUUCCUUUUGUUCCCAGAUGUUACCAACUUUGAUGAUGCAUCUAAUCUGUACAAACCUGUGUAUUUCUCUAUGUGAAAAGAAUACUUUGUUCAAAUUACAUGUUCUUAUAAUUUUCACUUGUGAUCGGUGAGUAUGGGACACUAUAAAAAAAUCCUGAAAAACCUCAUCAUAGCAAUUGAAUCACGUUACUGUACUUUAUGAGGAAUUAACCCCUUCAGGAUGAAUUACUCAUGGGUUCAUCAGCACAUUUGUGAAGAAAGGAAGAAAAACUGUAUGGCCUUUAUGAAAUUGGAAAAAUAAAGAACUAUAUAUAGGAGGACCACAGCACAAUACUAGGGCCCUUCUCUUAUUUUAAAUAGACUCUAUGGUGUCGAAUGCCUGCAUUCCUAACCUAUCCUGCAGUAUUCUCAUCCUACUCUUCACUGUGUAUUUAGGUGGGGGUUUCUGAAUUCACUUGUCCACAGCGUUAGUGGGGAUGUUGUAACGUGAGGGUAUCCAUCAUCUAUCAUCUUAAUAAUUAAUGAAGAGAAGAGCCUUGAGAUCUGUCUUCAGAUACACUGCUGCCGAGUAUGUGCCUGCAAAGACACUGCCCACACCGGUGGUCUCAGAAAGUUGAACCUGAUGCCACCACAAGCUGCUGUUCACAGAUCUAGGUGCUCCUUGUGAUUUGAGUCUCCUGCUUACAUUUGUGGUUGUGAACCUGCUAUGCUCACCCCAUUUAUGGUUCCUGCGAAUGAAGUUGCAAAUAUUGAUGAAGAUAAUACUACUGCCUUGCUGUCAAACAGUAACAGUCACCUUUUUUUCUAUCUCCAAUUAUAAAUGCAAUACAUACUGUAAAAAGAAAAGAAAACAUCAUAAAUAUCUUUAUAAAGUAAAAGUCUUGGCUGGUCUCUGGGAGCAGUGACUCAUGCCUGCAAUCUCAGCACUUUGUGAGGCCGAGGUGGGUGGAUCAUGAGGUCAGUAAUUUGAGGCCAGCCUAGCUGACAUGGUGGAACCCCAUCUCUACUAAAAAAUACAAAAAUUAGCUGGUCUCGGUGGCGGGUGCCUAUAAUCCCAGCUACCCACGAGGCUGAGGCAGGAGAAUCACUUGAACCCAGGAGGCAAAUGGUGCAGUGAGCCAAGAUCGUGCCAUUGCACUCUAGCCUGGGCAACAGAGUGAGACUUCAUCUCAAAAACAAAACAAAACAAAAAACUUGGUUGGCCUAGUGGCUCAAUCCCAGCACUUUGGGAGCCCAAGGCAGGUGAAUUGUUUGAGCCCAGAAGCUCAAGACGAGUGUGGGCAACAUGGUAAAACCCUCUCUCUACAAAAAUACAAAAAUUAACCAGUUGUGGUGAUGUACACCUGUAUUCCCAGCUACUAGGGAGGCUGAGGUGAGAGGAUUGUUUGAGCCUGGGAGGCCAAGAUUGCAGUGAGCUGAAAUCACACCACUGCGCUUCCAUGUGGGCAACAAAGUGAGACCCUGACUCAAAAAAUAAAAACACAUUAAACUGAAAGUCCCCUUUAUUCCCUUCUCUUCAAACUCACCUUUUUUAUUUGAAAAAACUGUUAAGAGGUUGUUUUUCAUUCUUCUGGCUAAGUUGUAUAAAUUUCUUUUUUUUUUCGAGACAGACUCUCGCUCUGUUGCCCAGGCUGGAGUGCAGCGGCGCGAUCUCAGCUCACUGCAAGCUCCGCCUCCCGGUUUCACGCCAUUCUCCUGCCUCAGCCUCCCGAGUAGCUGGGACUAGAGUUGCCCGCCACCACACCCGGCUAAUUUUUUGUAUUUUUAGUAGAGACAGGGUUUCACCGUGGUAGCCAGGAUGGUCUUGGUCUCGAUAUCCGGCCCCCUGAUCUGCCCACUUCGUCUUCUCAGAGUGCUGGGAUUAGAGGCGUGAGCCACCGCCCCCGGCCUGUUCUAUAAAUUUCUAAGUGAUACACAUAAAGUUUAUUUUAAAAAUUACAUCACACUACAUUAAAAUUUACUCUUUCUCCAGGUGUAUUCCAUCUAUUUAUCUAUCUAUCUAUCUAUCUAUCUAUCAUCUAUCAUAUAUCUAUCUAUGACAAGGCCUUGCUCUGUCACACAGACUGGAGUUCAGUAGCUCAAUUAUGGCUCACUGCAGACUCAAACUCUCAGGAUCAAAUGAUUUUCUAACUUCAGCUUCUGAAGUAGCUGGGAGUACAGGUGCAUGCCACUACUCCUAGUUAAUUUUUAGUUUUUGUUUGUUUUUUUCUUUAAACAGGGUCUCACUGUGUCACCUGGGCUGGAAUGCAAUGCAUAAUCACAGCUCACUCUAGCCUUGACCACUCAGGCUCAGGCAAUUCUCCUGCCUCAGCCUCCUGAGCAGAUGGGACCACAAAUGUGUAUUAACACACUUGGCUGUUUAUUAUUAUUUGCAGAGACAGGGUCUCCCUAUCCUGCCCAGGCAUGUUGUGAACUCUUGUGCUUAAGCAAUCUGCUACCUCGGCCUCCAAAAUUGCUGGAAUUAAAGGUGUGAGCCACCACAACUUACCCAGGCUUUUUACUUUGUGUAAGAAUAGCAUCAGUGUAUUAAAAAUACAGUGGAAAUUAUUUAUGGUGUCUUUUCAAUUCUUAUGCAUUAAAGUUCUCUUAUUAGAGCCUUUUA